AACAAACGCUGGCGGCGUGCCUAAUACAUGCAAGUCAAACGGGUAGCAAUACUAGUGGCGCACGGGUGAGGAAUACAUGGGUAAUCUGCCCUCGAGUUGGGGAUAACCAGUCGAAAGAUUGGCUAAUACCGGAUAAGACCACAAGAUCUGCGGAUCAAGGGGUUAAAGGUUUUUCGCUUGAGGAUGAGCCCAUGUGGGAUUAGCUAGUUGGUGAGGUAAUGGCUCACCAAGGCGACGAUCCCUAACUGGUCUUAGAGGAUGAUCAGUCACACUGGAACUGAGACACGGUCCAGACUCCUACGGGAGGCAGCAGUAGGGAAUAUUGCACAAUGGGGGAAACCCUGAUGCAGCGACGCCGCGUGAGUGAUGAAGGCCUUCGGGUCGUAAAGCUCUGUCGUAUGGGAAUAACACAAUGAA
rnacentral:rRNA from 1 species